rnacentral:ncRNA from 1 species
CUCUUUAUACUGAUUGAUAGUUGUGACAGUUAAGGGAAGUUGAAAAACACACUGCCCCCGCAACGGUGUUUAUACAUGCUUUUAACCCGAUGUGUAUAACAGUCCGGAACCUCACUGUUACGUUCUUUCUCUC